AUGCACUAUGCACUGGCCCAGUGCACAAUGGCGGUUUGUAAAAAGCCUAUUGUCUGCUCCUGCUAAGCAUGCGGAAGCACAGUCAUCUGGGCCUCGUCCCCGUUGCUGAAGGGGAAGACGUAGACAUUUCGUCUGAGCCGGGUUGGCAAGGUGGAAAUGUGGCAGGAGCAGAAGUUCCAAAUCUGGCCAGAGAGUCCUCCAAGUGGUUCUGGCAUAACACGCAGGUGAUUUUGGCGUGUCUGGCAGGUUGUUCCGUUGUGCUUGGCAGGUGGUUCAGGCUUGGCCGGCAGGUGGUUCCAGACUGUCCAGGACGUGUUUCCAGCUUCUCCAGCAGGUGGUUCUGGUACGUCUGAGAGGUGGUUCCGCCAUGGCUGGCAGGUGAUUCCGGAACCACCUACCUGACAUGCCAAAAUCACCAGCCGGGUAUGCCAGAACCACUUGGCGGACACUCCGGAAUCAUCUGCCGGACAUGCCGGAACCAGCUCUCAGACACACCAGAACCACGUGCCGGAGACGCCGGAAGCACCUGCCGAGCAUGCCGGAGCCACCUGCUCGACUCGCCAGAAACACCUUCCGGACACGCCAAAAUCACCUGCCGGGUACGCCAGAACCACCUGGCAGACACUCCGAAAUCACCUGUCGCGCAUGCCGGAACCACCUCUCAGACGUGCCGGAAGCACGUGCCGGACACGCCGGAAUCACCUACCGGACAGACCGGAACCACCUGGCGAGCACGCCGGAGCCACCUGUUCGACUCGCUGGAACCACCUGCCGGACACGCCAAAAUCACCUGCCGGGUAUGCCAGAACCACCUGGCGGACACUACGGAAUCACCUGCCGCGCACGCCGGAAGCACGUGCCAGACACGCCGCAAACACCUACCGGACAGACCGGAACCACCUGCCAAGAACGCCGGACCCACCUGUUCGACUCGCUGGAACCACCUGCCGGACAGGCCAAUAUCAACUGCUGGCUAUGCCAGAACCACCUGGGGGACAGUCCGGGAUCACCUGCCAGCCAUGGCGGAACCACCUCUCAGACGUACCAGAACCACCUGCCGGAGAAGCUGGAAACACCUCCUGGACAGACUGGAAACACCUGCCGGCCAUGCCUGAACCACCUGCCGAGCACGGCGGAAGCAACUGCCGGACACGCCAAAAUCACUGCGGGCUACGCCAGAACCACUUGUAUGACUCUCCGAAAUGAC
rnacentral:lncRNA from 1 species